UUUGACUAGCGGAUUUUGCCAUCCCUUUCUUAUUUUUAACAGUUAGUGCGAAAUACGACAUUGGUGCCGAAAAGUAUGCCUCGUGUUAGGAGAGAGAAGAUUGAUGCUGAAAGUCAGAUUCUGCAUGAUGUGGAACAGAGGAAGGUAGUUGCAUGUGCACAACAAGGCUUUUCGCAUGAUUUGAAUGUGGAGGGUGGGAAAGAGGUCUUUUUACUUUCGUAUCUAUGGCCACAUCGUCGAGUAGCCAAGGCUACUCUUCAAACAUCUUGUACAUCUACAAUAGUUGGGGACAAAGCACUUGGACCUGGAUGUUGCCUAGUGUUGGUCAAUCAAGUGUUGGAUGGAAAGGCUCCUCUGAUACGCCCUCUCAGGGACAUAAACACAAUGAAUGAUGCACUUGGACAUUCUAUUGCAUGGACGCGUCAGCAAAUCCAAGAUGAUACUACUGCUGCCAUAGUAGCACCUAACCAAGCAUCUCUAGGUAACAUGAUUUGCUUAAGCAUUGACUUCUACCAUGUGAAUUUGUGCUGUUGCGAAGAACAUGUGCAUUUGGAUGCCAUCAUUUAG
rnacentral:rRNA from 1 species